UACAGAGGUCCCAAGCGUUGUUCGGAUUCACUGGGCGUAAAGGGUGCGUAGGCGGUCGGGGUAAGUCUGACGUGAAAUCUUCAAGCUCAACUUGGAAACUGCGUCCGAUACUAUUCGGCUAGAGGAAUGGAGGGGAGACUGGAAUACUUGGUGUAGCAGUGAAAUGCGUAGAUAUCAAGUGGAACACCAGUGGCGAAGGCGAGUCUCUGGACAUUUCCUGACGCUGAGGUACGAAAGCCAGGGGAGCAAACGGG
rnacentral:rRNA from 1 species